AAUUUAUUUUUUACAUUUCACUCUCUCUCUUCGUUUGCUACCGUUAGGAUUCUCUGGGAGCUUUGCUCAAGUGUCAAGUCUCGUUCUUUGAAUCCUCUUCGAAUUCAAGGUAUUCCUCAAAUUUCUUCUUAUGAUUUGCUUGUUUAGAUCUAGUUUUUAUUGUUUUUUGCUCAGUUUGGGUCUUUUUCUGGGUUCUGCUAUGAAGAACAUGAUGAACAUAGGAUGAAUUUUUCGGGCACUAUAUGAAAUUUCCGAGCACUAGAUUAGCGAAGGAUAGAUUUCUGGGUAGAUUUAGGAGUCUGCGUUUGGUCGGGGAACCUCGUCCCCUUCA
rnacentral:lncRNA from 1 species